rnacentral:rRNA from 1 species
UACGUAGGGUGCGAGCGUUGUCCGGAAUUAUUGGCGUAAAGAGCUCGUAGGCGGUCUGUCGCGUCGGUCGUGAAAACUUGGGGCUUAACCCUGAGCUUGCGGUCGAUACGGGCAUGACUGGAGUUCGGCAGGGGAGACUGGAAUUCCUGGUGUAGCGGUGAAAUGCGCAGAUAUCAGGAGGAACACCGGUGGCGAAGGCGGGUCUCUGGGCCGAUACUGACGCUGAGGAGCGAAAGCGUGGGGAGCGAACAGG